CAGCAACCGGGAAUAUUGCGCAAUGGACGAAAGUCUGACGCAGCGACACCGCGUGUGGGAAGACGCUUUUCGGAGUGUAAACCACUGUGGCGAGGGAUGAAUUUUUGACAGUACCUCGCUAGAAAGCACCAGCUAACCACGUGCCAGAAGCUUCGGUAAUACGUGGGGUGCAAGCGUUAUCCGGAUUUAUUGGGCGUAAAGGGUCCGUCGGCGUUUUUAUUAGUCUUUUGUUUAAGCCUGGGGCUCAACUUCAGAGGGGCAAAAGAUACUGUAAAAAUAGAGUCUGUUUGAGGAAACUAGAAUUCUUGGUGGAGGGGUGAAAUCCGUAGAUAUCAAGAGGAAUACCAUGCGCGAAGGCAGGUUUCUACAACAUGACUGACGCUCAGGGACGAAAGCUUGGGUAGCAAAAGGGAUUAGAGACCCCUGUAGUCCAAGCCGUAAACUAUCUUUGCUAGUUGCUCGAGUUUACUUGAGUGGCGUAAGCUAACGCGUUAAGCAAAGCGCCUGGGGAGUACGACCGCAAGGUUAAAACUCAAAGGAAUUGACGGGGGAGCGCACAACCGGUGGAGUAUGUGGUUUAAUUCGAUACAAAGCGAAAAACCUUACCCAGAUUUGACAUGUACCUGCACGGCUAUGGAAACAUAGCUUUCUUCGAGAGUGGUACACAGGUGAUGCAUGGCUGUCGUCAGCUCGUGUCGUGAGACGUCUACUUAAGUGUAGUAACGAGCGCAACCCUUGUUCUGUGUUAUAAGUGUCACAGAAGACUGCCUUUGUUAUACAAAGGAGGAAGGAGAGGAUGACGUCAAGUCAGCAUGUCCCUUACAUCUGGGGCAACACACAUUCUACAAUGGAGCCGACAACAGGUCGCAACGGGGCAACCCCGAGCUAAUCCUCUAAACGGCCCCUCAGUUCGGAUUGAGGGCUGCAAUUCGCCCUCAUGAAGCCGGAAUCGGUAGUAAUCGCAAAUCAGCAUGUUGCGGUGAAUACGUUCUCGCUCCUUGUACAAAUUAAAAUGCGCCUUCCGCGCAUAUUAUCCAGUUGGUUAAAAUCCAACCUAUCAUUGAAAUAAGCAAUUAGAAGCAAAAUCGCAGUCCUAAGGAAAGUAAUUUCCAGGACGAAGGGUGAAAGUAGCAAAAAUCAGCUUGAAGUUAAUUCGACAUUUUAUAUCUGACGAUCCUACACGUACAAAUGGAGAAGUCACUUAUUUAACAUCUUAAAUGAUGUAAGGAAUAAAAUGCAUUUGGGCUCGAGAUGAUUUUGAAUGGAAAAUAUGUGAACGAAGGGAGAUCCUAAAAAUACCUGAGUUUCGUUUGUUUACUAACAACGAGAUUUUCAGUAUGAUAGCGGUAACAACAUCAAAUACUUUUUAGGAAGUCUGCAGAGGUCAUAGUACUUUUAAAAAAAGCAUUGAAAAAUGCAAAUAUUAAAGGAAGGACCAAACUUAGUCAAAAAAAAUGAAUCUACCUCCUGAUUAUGUGUGCGGAUUCGUCGAUGGUGAAGGUUGCUUUACUAUCGUUAUAUCUAAACACAAAACGAAAAAACUUGGUCUAGAUGCUCGACUUCAUUUUGAAAUCGAACUUCGAGAUGAUGAUGAGGAAAUUCUUCAAAGCAUUCAACAAACUUUGAAUUGCGGAAGAAUUUACCACCUUAGCUAUGAACGCUACUGAUGGAAUCCUCAUGUAGAAUUAAAAGUUUCUUCAAUCAAGGAAAUUAGGGAAAAACUCAUUCCGUUCUUUCAGAAACACAAACUGCGAGGCAAAAAACGAAAAUCUUUCGAGCUUUUUGUCAAAGCAGCCAAAGUUUUUGAAAAUCGUGAGCAUCUUACAAUGGAAGGAAUAGAAAAAUUGCGUGAAAUUCGUAGAAAUAUGAAUAAAUAUAGCAAAAAAAGAGACUAAGGGUUCGCCAUGGUGCGGGAAAACCGCGCGCCAGGCGGCGAGAGACACGAAAUUAAGCCAGCAAUGGCACGAUGAUCUCAGAACACUGCCCGUCAAGCCAGCAAAGUCAGCAGCGCCCGAAGCGGGUGACCAUAACCAGUUUACUGGGGUGGCCCUUCUACGGUGAGGUUGGCAAUGAGGACUAAGUCGUAACAAGGUAUCCGUACUGGAAGGUGCGGAUGGAUCACCUCCUUUCUAAGGAG
rnacentral:rRNA from 1 species